rfam:Pseudomassariella vexata strain CBS 129021 BCR38scaffold_3, whole genome shotgun sequence.
GGCGCAGUGGCAGAGUGGUCUAAUGCGAUAGACUAGAAUGCGAAUUCUACGACAUCUAUUCUCUUCGGAGGCGUCUGUUCGAAUCAGGCCUGCGUCG